CGCCAACAACGACCUACGACCUCCUCCUCACCAGAAAAAAAAGAAGAAAGCAGGCAAGGUGGAGUAGGAACCAUGUCCAACGUGCCCACCUCCCUCCGCGACUCCUCCCUCACCGUCUUCCGCCUCGCCAUCUCCAGCUCCGACCCCUGGCCCUUCUCUUCCUAACCCCAAACCCCUCCUCCCGCCUCUCGAGCUCUGCCGUCCGAUCUCCCUCCCCCGUCUCCUCCUUCCUCGCAACAGCCAGAAGACUCGUCCGGUCCUCGCCUCCGAUGCACCUCAGGCAGCAGCAGCAGCAGCACCACAGGGCGGAGAUGGUGGCGCCCAAGGGGUGCGUGACGGUGCGCGUGGGGGCGGAGGGGGAGGAGCAGCGCCGCUUCGCCGUGCCGCUCGACCACCUCAAGCACCCGCUCUUCGGGGCCCUGCUCGAUGAGGCCGAACGCGAGUACGGCUUCAGGCACCAGGGCGCCAUCGCCAUCCCCUGCCGCGUCGACCGCUUCGUCCACGUCGAGCGCCUCAUCGACCGCGACCUCGGCGCGCACGGCCACCAGCUCGUCGACCUCGACUGCGGCGCCGCCACCGCCCACGGCCACGGCCACCUCCACCUGCCGCGCUUCGUCGGCUGCUUCCGCGCCUGACGAUGAUGGCGACGCGUCGUCGACCGCUGGAUCUCUUGCUGUUUCUUUGUUAGGGUUGGUUGAGUAGUUCUCUUCCGUAUGCUGCUGGCUAGUUUGUUUCGCCCUCCGGUCUCGAUCUCCCGUACGUAUGGGUUUGUUAUGCAUGGUUGUUCUCCAUUGGUUUGUUUUGUGCUGGGAGAAUCGAUCGGAGGACGAAUUCCAUGUUGAUGAUGAUGAUGAAAAGUUAUGAUCCAAGUGUAAAGAGAAUAUAAUUGUUAGUAGCUUAUUAAUCCUGUCCUUUUUUCCUUUUGUCAAUUUUAUGCUCUCCGCAGAAGAAGUAGCUGUGGUUGUGCCUUGGG
rnacentral:lncRNA from 1 species